rnacentral:rRNA from 1 species
UACGUAGGGGGCAAGCGUUGUCCGGAAUUAUUGGGCGUAAAGAGCUCGUAGGCGGUCUGUCGCGUCCGUUGUGAAAACUCGAGGCUCAACUCCGAGCUUGCAGUCGAUACGGGCAGGCUAGAGUUCGGUAGGGGAGACUGGAAUUCCUGGUGUAGCGGUGAAAUGCGCAGAUAUCAGGAAGAACACCCCGUGGCUAAGGCGGUUCUCUAGUACGGUACUGACGCUGAGACGCGAAAGCGUGGGGAGCGAACAGG